rnacentral:misc_RNA from 1 species
GAAAUGCGAUAAGUAGUGUGAAUUGCAGAAUUCAGUGAAUCAUCGAAUCUUUGAACACACAUUGCGCCCUUUGGUAUUCCAAAGGGCAUGCCUGUUCGAGCGUCAUUUGUACCCUCAAGCUUUGCUUGGUGUUGGGCGUCUUGUCUCUAGCUUUGCUGGAGACUCGCCUUAAAGUAAUUGGCAGCCGGCCUACUGGUUUCGGAGCGCAGCACAAGUCGCACUCUCUAUCAGCAAAGGUCUAGCAUCCAUUAAGCCUUUUUUCAACUUUUGACCUCGGAUCAGGUAGGGAUACCCGCUGAACUUAAGC